rnacentral:rRNA from 1 species
AGCAGCCGCGGUAAUUCCAGCUCCAAUAGCGUAUAUUAAAGUUGUUGCAGUUAAAAAGCUCGUAGUUGAAUUUCGGGGUUAGUAGGCUGGUCGUGCCACUGGUAUGUACUGGUCUCACUGAUUCCUCCUUCCUGAUGAGCUGUAAUGCCAUUAAUUUGGUGUUGCAGGGAAUCUGGACUAGUUACUUUGAAAAAAUUAGAGUGUUUAAAGCAGGCUAAACGCUUGAAUACAUUAACAUGGAAUAAUGAAAUAGGACGAUCGAUCCUAUUUUGUUGGUUUCUAGGAUUGACGUAAUGAUUAAUAGGGGAUAGUUGGGGGCAUUAGUAUUCAAUUGUCAGAGGUGAAAUUCUUGGAUUUAUUGAAGACUAACUACUGCGAAAGCAAUUUGCCUAAGGAUGUUUUCAUUAAAUCAAGAACGAAGGUUAGGGGAUCGAAGACGAUCAGAUACCGUCGUAGUCUUAACCAUAAACCUAUGCCGACUAGGGAUCGGAUGUAUGUAAUUUUUUAAUGUACUC